UACCAGCACCCCGAGUGGUCGGGACGUUUAUUGGGCCUAAAGCAUCCGUAGCCGGUUCUACAAGUCUUCCGUUAAAUCCACCUGCUUAACAGAUGGGCUGCGGAAGAUACUAUGGAGCUAGGAGGCGGGAGAGGCAAGCGGUACUCGAUGGGGUAGGGGUAAAAUCCGUUGAUCCAUUGAAGACCACCAGUGGCGAAGGCGGCUUGCCAGAACGCGCUCGACGGGUGAGGGAUGAAAGCUGGGGGAGCAAACCGG
rnacentral:rRNA from 1 species